rnacentral:rRNA from 1 species
UACGGAGGGAGCUAGCGUUGUUCGGAAAUACUGGGCGUAAAGCGCACGUAGGCGGCGCAGCAAGUCAGGGGUGAAAUCCCGGGGCUCGACCUCGGAACUGCCCUUGAAACUGCAGUGCUAGAAUCUUGGAGAGGCGAGUGGAAUUCCGAGUGUAGAGGUGAAAUUCGUAGAUAUUCGGAAGAACACCAGUGGCGAAGGCGAAUCGCUGGACAAGUAUUGACGCUGAGGUGCGAAAGCGUGGGGAGCAAACAGG